GAGAAUGACGAUUCUUGUCGACCGGGCGGACAGAAGGAGCGCUCUAUUAACGUCGACCGUACAAUCGGC
rnacentral:snoRNA from 1 species